rnacentral:lncRNA from 1 species
UACUAAUCAUGAGUUACUAGCAUUUGGCUUCUCUGUGCUAAUUAAACCUGAUAAGUAUGUAUACUUCUUUGAGAUACAAAUUCCACAUUACAUGUUUAUGUGCUAAUUAAACCUGAUAAGUAUGUAUACUUCUUUGAGAUACAAAUUCCACAUUGCAUGUUUAUGAGGUUCAAUUUCUACAGAUGUUGCCAAAUGAAUGCGUCAACAUGUCUCUCCUUAGGGGUUGUUUUAAACCGCAAAUGAUCUACUGUAUCAAUUUUUUGCUGUUCAAAGAUUGAAAUCCUGGUUCAUUUUCAAAGAUCGAAAUGUUCUUGACCCUGUUCUUCUAUGCUUAAAUGGUAAAAAUGUCGCAUUUUGCUUGUUCUAACCAUUUUUCUUGAUAACUUGUAGAUGCUGGCCUUCAUUCAUGUUUUGUCGUGAGGUCCAGGAUGAACAAGUUGGGAGAAGCAUUGGAGCUAGUUAUACUGUGAUAGUUGUGUUACCUGAUGUGAACAUUUUUUUAUUGUAAACUUGAUGUGAACCAUAUUUUUUUGUAAUAAUGUGUUACCAGGAUGAACCAUCCUUGCUGUGUUACCAGGGUGAACAAGUUUGAUUGUAAUAAUGUGCCAAGUUUGGCUCUUUCUGAUUGUAUUCGUGAUGUGUACCAUAUUUUUCCUGAUUAG